GGAAUUCAUCGGCCCAUAUGGCUAGGACCUCGGGAACAAGGAUGGUGUAACCUGUUUCAGGAAUGGCUGGAUCUAGGGGCUCAAACGAUGCUCUCUGAACAUUGUCUUGCUCUGUCUCUGAGCUAUGAUUUCUCCAGGUCCUGGACAAGAUGUAAGCUUCAGCCAAAAUCCACCACCUUAGCAGUCACAGUGGAAAGGGAACUUUCUUUUCUAAUGGUUAAAGCAAAAGUUCUGUCCUUAUCCAGGCCUGGGUCUUUUGCCUCUCCCUGGGGUGGAGGUAGGGGGAACAAGAGCAGUCCCAUCUGACACACACGGACUGUAGCAGAAGGAGCGGUGGUUGGUGAUAGAGAAAUCAAAGCGCCAAGACCAAAAGAAGAGGACAAGGAUGCCCGGCAAGAAUCUUUACUCCCACCAGCAGUGUCUGAGAGGACGCCUCCCCGCAAACCCUCACCAACGAUCUUUCCUGUUUCCCAGUUACAGAGCACAAGGGAUAGACACACGUCAGAGACCUUAUCCACCUCGUUCGCUGUUGUGUUGCCAGCACCUAGAACGGUUUCGAGGAUGCAGUAGGUGCUGGAUAAGUAUGCACUGAAAGCACGAAGAAGAGAACUGCCUCCUAUGUCUGAUCUCCCACUGGCUGCUUAGAUCGCAUGUCUGCAUCUGCUCCCCUGCCUGAGAAGACGCCCCUCUCCACACACGCCUGCUUCUGGAAACUCUGCUAAACUACCCAGAUGAAGCCCCAUCCCUGGAAUUUUCUCCAGCCCCAGAAGAGGAAAGCUAGUAGCAGGUUGACUUGGCACGUUUAGACUUUUGGUGAUUGAAAUGAUUACUUCCUAUUCCACACCCGCUCAACUCUGCAGAGAAACCUUUUCUACCAGCACUUGCUCUGUCUUGCUCCUCUCUGCAUGUUAACUUUAUUCCCCAAGAUAGCAGACCUGCUGACUGGCAGCACCUGGGGAGUUCAGGAGCACCUGUAAACUCCUGGGGAGGAUGAGCCUGGCUUGUGUCACGUGUCCACCUUGCACAAGCCAGCUGUGGCGGGUGGACUGAAUCCCACAGCACAGGUGUGACCACUGGGGUCCCCUCCUGGGUCUCAGUGCUGUUUCUGGAGAGGGGCGUCUCGUGUGCCAGGAAUCAACCCCAGUCUGUGUCUUUUUACAGGGGCCCUCCAGCCUUGGCUGAUGGGACUCAGAGUGGAUAUCAGUCUCAAACUGAGCCAGUAAGAAUCCCGCUCUCAAAAUUUUGGACAGUAAAUUAGCGUAAGGCAAAUCAACUUUGUUGAGACAUAAUUUACAUAUAAUAAAACGCACCCAGCUUAAGUUCAAUGAGUUUUGACAAAUGUAGACACCCAUGAAAUUUACCACUGUAAUUAAGAGAUAGAAUAUUUUAAUUGCCCCCAAAAGUUCCUGCAUGUCCCUUUGCAGUCAACUCCUUCACCCCAUACCCAGGCAACCACAACCACUCACCUAUGUCCUGCCACUGUAGAUGAGUUAGGCUUUUUCUAAAAUUUUGUAUAAAUGGAAUCAUAUAGCAUGCAUUCCUCUGUGUCUGGCUUCUAUCACUUGGCACAAUGCCUGUGAGAUUUAUGCAUGUUGUUGCAUUUAUCAGUAACUUAUAGAACACCCGGUUUUGGUCACAAAGUAACAGCCAAUUAAUAGAGAAAAAAGAAGCCAAGAUGUUGAGGGAAGAAGAGAUGGAAGACCACAGGGCCUAGGAGCGGUAGAGAGUGACCUCAGAGCCUGUUCUGAAACAAAAGCUUUAAAAAUAACCACCACUACCCAGGCAUGUACGGUACCAUCCCAUUUAUCAAAACAAAGAGGAGAAAAACAAGCCCAUAUAUGAGUAUAUUUGUCUAGGGAAAGGCUGGAAAGAUACACACCAAGGGGUUAAUUGUGGUUAUCUCUGGGUAAUAGGACCAUGGAUGUUUAAAAAUAUUAUCUUUCCUUAUCUAAAUUUUUAAUUUUCUACCAUCAACAAAGGUUAUUUUUACUUUAAGAAAAAAAAGUAUUUUUAUUUUCACAUGUGUGUGCAGCUUUUAAAAUCAGGCUGGGAAACUUCUCAAAUGCUUAACAUUUUUCAACGAUGUGAAAUGUUUCUAGUUACAUUUCAAACCUCUGAUGUGACGGUUCUGCCGCAGAUGUUUAAAAGCAAAACUUGUGAAAUAGGAUCAUUUGUGAGUAAUUAUUCCCUCAGCCCAGUUAUGCUGAAGGCCCUCUUAAGGCCUCUCAAAUUGUAACCGAGCUAUUUGUGGGCUAAAACCUUAACCCAGUUGUCGUCCUCAUCCUUGAGCCUGCAAUCAAAUGGAAAGGGUUGUGCUUCCCGUCGUUUUCAAAAUGUGGGCCAGCGGAAUCCCUUGGUGUGGUUGUAAAAACGCAGAUUCGUGAGCUGGACCACAGAUAUACUGACCCAUGAGAGUCUCUGGGGGUAGAGUUUAGAAUACGACAUUUAAAACAACCCAGUUAGGCAAUUCCGGGACACAGUAAUCUUUGAGAGUCAGUGGGCUCGUUUCUGGCCAGAUAAGCUUAGUUCCUGCCCUGAACAGGCCUCCCAGGACCCCCACAUCUAAUCAGCUGCUCUCCACCUCAGAGGCACCUCUGCUCCCAGGAUCAGUCACAACCUUAGGCAGGAGCCAAUAUAACUGGUAUUAAUCCUGUUUUGUUUCAAACAACUGUGUGUCCUUUGCUUUUGCACGUUUAGCCUCUCUUGGGAAUCUGAGCACCGCCCCUGAAUCUUGGGCCUUCAAGGUAUCCUUGCUGUCUGGGGACUCCUCAAGGUCUAUCCUGUAAUGUCCCACCCAGGGGGCCGAUUGUUUUGCAUUGCCUCUCUCCUGGGAGACUCUGCCAACUGGAGACUGCCCUCCAGGCUGAAGCUUCUCUAUCUGUGCUUAUAUCUGGAUCUGCUCGCUCCUCCCCACCCACCCAGCC
ensembl:lncRNA